GCGUCGGUAGCUCAGACGGUGACGAGCGCCAGUCUUAUAAACUGGAGGGCGUGGGUUCAAAUCCCACUCGGCGUACUA
rnacentral:tRNA from 1 species